UACGGGGGGGGCAAGCGUUGUUCGGAAUUACUGGGCGUAAAGGGCUCGUAGGCGGCCAACUAAGUCAGACGUGAAAUCCCUCGGCUUAACCCUGGACCUGCAGUGGGUACGGGCAGACUAGAGUGCGGUAGGGGAGAUCGGAAUUCCUGGUGUAGCGGUGAAAUGCGCAGAUAUCAGGAGGAACACCGAUGGCGAAGGCAGGUCUCUGGGCCACUACUGACGCUGAGAAGCGAAAGCAUGGGGAGCAAACAGG
rnacentral:rRNA from 1 species